UUGCUUUGGAAGCACAUACACUAAAAUUAGAACAAUACCGAGAAGAUUAGCAUGGCCACUGUUCAAGGCUGACAAUCAGAUUCAUGAAAUGUUCCACAUUAAA
rfam:Erinaceus europaeus unplaced genomic scaffold scaffold00401, whole genome shotgun sequence